rnacentral:lncRNA from 13 species
CAAAGAGCUGCUGGCGAGGAAUUGGCUGUCAGUCGCUUCAAUCACAGAUCGCAAGGCCAUGAUUCGUCAGAGAGUGAAGGGGAGGAACUUGUGCCUCCGCCAAAGAGGCAGAAAGUCCAGGAUUCUUCCUCUGUCACCAACCCACCGACUUCAACUCAUUCAACUGACAGUACUCCACCUACUAUACCGCCCCCACCCUCGGCUCCCAGACAGUCACGUGACAGUGACAACGAGGAUGGUCAAUCCCAGGGCAGCAGGAGCUCAGUUGUAGGGAGCUUGGCCAAUAGUCUGAGCAGUGGGCGGGACAUCGACCAGGACAAUCGAUCUUCCUCCCCGAGUCUCUCUGCCUCGCCUCCAGCCAGUUUAGACUCUGACUCUGAUGGUCCAGACUCACCAAAGCAAGGAGAGGGGGAACGGGAGAAAAGGAAAGAGGGAGGAGUGGGGAAGACAGGAGGAGAGGAAAGGAGAGCAGCCAGAGAGGGGAGAGGGGAUGAGUCUUGCGGGGAUGGAGAAAGGAAGGAUGGAGGAAUAGAGGACAGCCCUUCUCUGAAGCUGCCAUCCUCCUCCAUAUCUUCCUCUGCUCCUGUUCCCUCUCUCCGCGGAGCAGGGGAUUCAGCCAAUGACAGCAAUAGUGGCAGGAAGUCCUAUUUCUCACAGGACUCCAAGCUGGUAAGCAAGAUGGAGUAUGGACCGGCCAGCGCUGACACUGUGCACAGUGGCAAUCGAAUGAACUCCAAAGCUAAAGCUCAGUGCGUGACCAAGGCAACUGUCGCCGGGGGAGACUAUCCCCNNNNNNNNNNGUGAUUUUCAGUCCUACAGAGAAAGACAAGGACACCACUUCAUUCACUGCUAUGGCCUGUGGGGAGGGAUGGACAUCAUAAAGGAGUAACGAUGAAAACUCGAACUCACAAAGAAUCGGUAUGAACUGUUUCAAUGGCUUCCUUCAUCUCUACCAUGUUCCCCUGUGUAGCUGAGUGUGCAUGUGUGGGUCAGAUUGCAGAUGUGUUUAUUGUUAAUAUGUUGUAUUAUAUUGCACGGAGAUGGAUUGUGACGUUACAUUUUACAUCAUUUAAGAUGAAUAAGACUUUUGAAGUUAAGAUAUUCUGUGUGUGUAUUCUGUGUGUAUAUUCUGUGUGUAUAUUCUGUGUGUAUAUUCUGUGUGUAUAUUCUUUGUGGACAUUGAUGUCAUAAUUAUUUCUCUCUCUGUUCUCUUCUCACGUUGUCGUUCUUGCUGUUUUCUACCCUCCCAAUUCCUCUUCUCUCUCCUUUCCCUCAUGCUCUU